AACGAACGCUGGCGGCAUGCCUAACACAUGCAAGUCGAACGAGACCUCCGGGUCUAGUGGCGCAGGGGUGCGUAACGCGUGGGAACCUGCCCUUAGGUUCGGAAUAACUCCCCGAAAGGGGUGCUAAUACCGGAUAAUGUCUUCGGACCAAAGAUUUAUCGCCUUUGGAUGGGCCCGCGGUGGAUUAGCUAGUUGGUAGGGUAAAAGCCUACCAAGGCGACGAUCCAUAGCUGGUUUGAGAGGAUGAUCAGCCACACUGGGACUGAGACACGGCCCAGACUCCUACGGGAGGCAGCAGUGGGGAAUAUUGGACAAUGGGCGAAGGCCUGAUCCAGCAAUGCCGCGUGAGUGAUGAAGGCCUUAGGGUAGUAAAGCUCUUUUACCCGGGAUGAUAAUGACAGUACCGGGAGAAUAAGCUCCGGCUAACUCCGUG
rnacentral:rRNA from 1 species